CCAAACUUGGUCAUUUAGAGGAAGUAAAAGUCGUAACAAGGUCUCCGUAGGUGAACCUGCGGAGGGAUCAUUACUGAGUGAGGGCCUCCGGGCUCGACCUCCCACCCUUUAACAAACGUCCGGUUUGCCUCGGGGGUGACCCGGAUCUCUAGACGUCCGGGUGACCCCCGGAGGGAUACCUACUCUGCAUUUUGGCGUCGGAGUCAAAUAGUAAAUGGAAUGAAAACUUUCAACAACGGAUCUCUUGGUUCUGGCAUCGAUGAAGAACGCAGC
rnacentral:misc_RNA from 1 species